GGGGCGUCCGACAUGGUGGACGGCGGUGACGCAGCAAUGCACUGUGGGACGGCGGUGUGUCUGACCUAAAGGUGAAAAAACAACUCCCUCUGUGGCCUGAGGGGGUGUGGGGGGGGGUGUGUGUGUGUGUGUGUGUGUGUGUGUGUGUGUCUAUAGGUGUGUGUGUGUGUGUGUCUCACAGAGUGUGUGUGUGUGUGUGUGUGUGGCAGCGCUGCAUUGCAGUGCCCAGGCUGAGUUGGCAUGCUGAGUACAUAGUGUGCAUACUGCGACACACACACACACACACACACACACACACACACACACACACACACACACACACACACAGCAGCGGCUUUUUGCUGCCUCAGCUUCAUCAGAGAGUUGAGAAGAGUUUAUAACAGGAGAGACAGACAGGUAGAGAGACAGACAGACAGAGAGAGAGAGACAGUUAGAGAGACAGACAGACAGAGAGAGAGAGAGAGACAGUUAGAG